UACGGGGGGGGCAAGCGUUGUUCGGAAUUACUGGGCGUAAAGGGUUCGUAGGUGGCUUGCUAAGUCAGACGUGAAAUCCCUCAGCUUAACUGGGGAACUGCGUCUGAUACUGGUUGGCUUGAGUGCAGGAGAGGAACGCGGAAUUCCAGGUGUAGCGGUGAAAUGCGUAGAUAUCUGGAGGAACACCGGUGGCGAAGGCGGCAUCCUGGACCAACACUGACGCUGAGUGAGCGAAAGCCAGGGGAGCAAACGGG
rnacentral:rRNA from 1 species